rnacentral:lncRNA from 1 species
UUAAAGCUAAAGCAAAUUAUAAAAAUGAGGACGUCAAUACAAGGAUAGGUGGAACUUCAGCAGAUUCAGGAUUUGUCCAGGCUUACUCAAACUCUCCUUUCUGCCAGAGUGAUCCAUCAGCUUUGGAACAUCACCAUAUGAAGACCGCAAAAGAAGUGGUCGAGACGCCACAUGUAAGGAAAAUCCUUGGUGUUCCAAUCCUCGAUAUUCCCGUAGCUUCCAGAAAUGAGUCGUCAUCAUCACUUGUUUUUGCUUCUGCUAAUCUUCGUUCCUCUCCUGAGAGAAAAACUAUCAAACAAGAGAGGAGUAUGGUGAUCGACAUUAACGUGGCUUGUGACCUUUCUAUGCUUGAGCCUGAGGAACCUUAUGUUGUAGAACAAAUUGCUACUAAGAAAGUGAUGGAGACAAAAGCUAUGAACAUCAGGAAUCACUUUGAUUUGAACUCAUGUAUUACUGAGGAUGAAGAAGAACCAGUUUCUGCUGUAACCGAUAAGGCCAGUGUGAAGACUAUUCUGGAUAUAGACCUCGAAGCCCCUGUACUUAUGGACAAUGAACAAGAUGAUUUGCCUGGAGAAGAUGAUGACAAGCAACACGAGGCAUCUUUGCAGCACACACAGGAGGAACUACUCAAGACUGCAGCAGAAGCAAUAGUUGCCAUCUCAUCAUUCACUCAUUGCACCGCAAUAGAGGAAGCAAAAAGUGAUCCGUCUGAUGAUCCCCUGGAAUCUCUUCGAUGGUUUGUUGACGUGGUCUCUUCUUGUGCAGCGGAGCUUGAUAGUACUCCAUCUGCAAAAGAAAUUACAGGCAAGAACAACAACAUGAUGGUUGCACUUGCACAUAGUUCUUUUAAGGAAAUAGAUUACUUUGAAGCUAUGACAUUGCAACUAACAGAGACCAAGGAGGAAGAUUACAUGCCUAAGCCAUUUGUUCCUGAAGUCCAAACAGUAGAAGAUGCAGGAGCAGCCAGUUCACUAACAAAUCGACCACGAAGAGGGAAUGCAAGGAGGGGAAGACAACGGAGGGACUUCCAAAGGGAUGUCCUUCCUGGUCUGUCUUCAUUGUCAAGGCAUGAGGUGACUGAAGACAUCCAGAUAUUCGGAGGGUUGAUGAGAGCAACAGGCCAUACUUGGAACUCCAGUUUGACAAGAAGGAACGGGACAAGAAAUGGAGGUGCAAGGGGAAGGAGGAAAAAAGUCGUGGACACCAGUACCCCGGUAUUGACCACAACAACGACAACCUCUCCACUAAUUUACCAACUUAACAACAUUGAAGCCAGUUUGGAAGAUAACAAAAGCCUAACAGGGUGGGGAAAGACGCCUAGACGCCCUCGGAGACAAAGAUGCCCUGCAGGCAAUCCUUCUCCUGUCCUGUUUACUUAAAACACAGGGCAAAUAACUCUGUAAUUUCAUCCAUUCAUCAUUUAUAGAGAUGACAUUAACCGAUUCGCGUUCAUUUUAUGAAUUUCUGGAGUGAAUUUCUUUUUAGCUACAUGAGGAUUGUCAUUGUACAUGUUUUUGUGAUUGCAGGAAUUGUUUCAGAGAAUGAAAUGAUGGAAAAUCCAUAGGCAUCUAUUAUAUCCCUCAUGAGUUGUGUUAAUCUAAUCUCUAUGAUGUAACCUCGUCUUCGUAGGAAAGUUACAUUGUAUAUACAAGAUCGACCUUUUGAUUUAUAUGUAUAUUCUUGUGUUUUAACAUUAUAAGUAUGAAUUGUUUAUUAGACUAAAUAAAAGAAAUAUAGGACUAAGACAUAAAGACCAUAAAAGAAUCAUUUUACAGUAUUUGAAUAGUACAAGUAAAGUUUAUAAAGGAAAUAUUCUAUUGCAAAUAUAUGAGGAAUAAAAGAAAUUCCUAUUGAACAAAAAUAAAGGCACUCAAAAUUAACUGAAAAAACAUGUGUGCAAUUUUUUUUAAAAAUAUUUUAUUAAUGCUAUUAGUCACCUUUUUUCUCAAAGAUUCAAAUUAUUUUUUUAAAUAGAUUUAUUGGCAAUUAAAAGAUAUAUUUUUAUAUAUUAUAUCUAUAGUAUAAUGUGACAAGGAAAGAGGGAAGGGGGUUAUUAGUUUUCUUUUUUUAUCACUCUAAUAUCUGUACUAAAAGCAAGGAAGGUGGAGAGAAUCUAGAAAAUGUCCAUUUCUUUUUCAUUUCCUAAAAAACACACAUAUUUUAUUUAUUUAUUUAUAAUGACAAUAAAUAUGGAAACAAAUUAAUAUGACAAAUAAAGAAGAGUAAUAAAUUGAGAUACAUAAUAAAUAAGGAUAAUUUAGUUAAUUACUUUUUAGUUUAAAUUAACUUUUUUACUGGCGCAAUACGUUUAACAUACUCUUAAAUUUGACAUCAAUUUUGAGAGUGCACAUCUAUACACCUCAACUUGAUUUAAAUUAAUAACUAAUAAAUUAAACACUUUAAUUUAUUUUUACUAUGCCUCAUAAAAAUCCGAUAUUGACGUGACAUAUACAUUUUAUACACGUCUUGACUCUUGAUAAUUAUUAGAGUUUUAAAUCAAAUAAAUUGAAACGGAGGAAUAAAAAGAGACCGAAUGUUGACAAAUUUCAUGUCCACUGUUAUUACAGAAGCGUCGUUUGUUUGUGUGAAGAUUUUCUUAUCUGGGAUCUCUCUUUCUUUCUUCAUAUUUUACAAAAAUAUAGUACUACACAACCUUUGAAGUCUCAUAGAACUUGUGUCUUUCUCUCUCUUCUUCUUGAUUUUCCCUUCUCUCUCUAAAAAAAAAAGAGCUUUCUUUUUCUUUGUUUCUGAGAAGUUGUGGCCCCAGCAGAUCGAAAUCUCCAAUCUUUUUUCAGUUUUAUGAGGAUCUGAGUUUCUUCAAUGGUGUUAGCAAACUACCCACUUUGUUCUUUUCUUCUAAUUCUUUCAUAAUUAUUAUUACUACAUCAUGUAAAAUGGGAGGGAGUACUUAUUAGUGUACUAUUUAUUACUUUGUCCUCUUUUGUUCCUCUGCUUUUUUUUUUUUUUGGGGUCACUCAAUUCUCCAUGAUUCUUGAAUUGCUGCAAGUGUUGUUCAAUCCAUGAAAAAGGGUGUUGAGAACAAGUGCUGCCAAGAUGUGGGGUUGAGGUAAAUUCUUGUAUAUUUUGCUUGAUUUAUUCUUAUUUGACUUUAAAAAUCCAAGGACAAAAUAAGUCUAUUUUGUUUUUUUGCUUGGUUUUAGAUUCUAUGGAUAAUUGUGUUUAUACAUUUUUUUAAUGUUAUUUGUAGAUUUGAUUAAGUUCUUGAGUUUACUAGUGAUCCUCUCUAUUUGGGAUCUUUUUUGUGGCUUUUGUGUUUAUGAUUUCUUCAUUUACUCUAACAAGUGAAAAAGAUUGGAACUUUGUUGGUUUUAAAGUGAUUUGUGCUUCAUUUACUCUUACAGUUGAAAAAGAUUGGAACUUUGUUGCUUAUAAAGUGAGUUGUUUUGGGUAAUGGUUUAAACUUUGAAUUGCAUGAGUAAAAACUGAUACUUUAUUAGAAGAAAGAACUAUACUAGUUAUUAAAAUCCAAUUUAGGAAGUUCAUGGUGAGAGUGGAGUAGAUUAAAAUCCAAUUUAUAUGCUAUUACAAGAUUGGUGUCUAGUCUUUGUUAGCAGAUUAUGAUAAUUGGAGAGUUGGGGAUUUUCAUGUUGCUUAGAGAUGGAUUUCUAAAUUAAUUGCAAUCUCGGUUACUGUCCGUUGUCUUGUUUGCUUCCUCUAGUAUCCUUGGGCACUACAUUGUGGUUCUAGUUAAUGAUGGGCAAGGCGAGUUGGUUCCUUGCUACCCUAUGCUAUAGGGAGCGAUUAAUUUAAGUCUUGAAAUUGGUGCGUGUGAACGCAACUUUAACAAAACAGUAAAUGAAAAUGCCCACGAAAGUCUCGUGUGUUGUUGAAAGUGCGCUCUAGGAGACAAAAAAGUUUAGGAUUUUUUCCACAUGUUGCUUGUGAGAAUCAUGCAAAGUGCGUGCGUUACUCGGGCUGCUCUGGUGCAAUUUGUCCUUUGAAAAAUAUGAUGGCAAGGUUUUUGUAAGAAUAUUUUUAACAGGUCUAUUUGGGAUUAUUUUACCUGGUAGAAAUACAGGUUUUUAAAUAUUAUUUUAUAAGGGCUUGGUAGAAACACAAUUAUCUUUUGACUACCGGAUAAGUAUCGCUAACUGGCAGGCAAUAGAAUCAGCUGAUAGGCGCAGGCAAGCGUAACGAAUCACAUAGAUAAGCCCUACCUGUCAGCGCAAGGAUGGAUAGGGUGAGCGAAGUGCGAAGGGGAAGGUGUUGACUACAUGUUCUCGUAUCCAAGAAUUGUCUCAUGUUAAGCUUAGGAAAGAGUACAAAAGAGAAGUCCACACAUUCACACGUUGCGUGCAAAGUCUUCUACUCCUAGAGAUAAUCUUGCAUGUGCUGAUCUGGCAUUAUUAAUUUGUAAUCUAUACAACCAAUUACAUGGAAAUGUUAACAAAGUAUUAAUUGCUUAUUUAUGUAAAGGGAAAACCGUCAAAGUUAAGCUUUUGAAAGAUAGACUUGAAGCAGGAUAGGUUUUUCCAUUUCCUCUUUUUGGGAAAUAAACCUGAAAGAAUCUUCUUCAGGUUAGUAUCCAUGCAAUUGAUCUUCUCUUCAUAAAUAUUUUCAAGGCGUUCUGAUAGUCUUGUUUCUGUCUUCAUGAGUAGAUUACGGUAAUUGGAUAGUUUUGGAUUUUGGUGCUGCUUAGAGACAAAUUUCCAAAUUAAUUGCAAUUUUGAUCGGUAUCUGUUGUCUUGUUUGUUUCCUCUUGUAUCCUUGGGCACUACAUUGUGGUUCUAAUUAACAAUGGACAAGACAAGUUGGUUCCUCAUCACCCUAUGCUGUCAGGAGUAAUUAAUUUUAAGUCUUGUAACCGGUGCGUGUGAACACAACUUUAACAGAAUAAUAAUUGAAAAUGUCCAUGGAAUUCUCACAUAUUGGAUGUUGAAAGUGUUCUCUAGGAGAAAAAAAGCUAGGAAGUUUUUUUUGUCCUUGUAGCCUAUGAGAAUCGUGCAGAGUACGUGCAAUAAUUAGGUUGCUUUCAUGCAAUUUGUCCUUUAAAAAUCACGAUGGUGAGGUUUCUAAGAAUAUUUUUGGCAAGUCUAUUUGGAAUUAUUUUAGUUGGUAGAAACACAUUUUUCUUUGAUGCUUACUACAUGCUCUAAUAUCCAAGAACAUCGCAUGUUAAACUCGAUGCAAGAGAGGUACAUUAACGAAUUAAUCAAGAAGGAAUAGUUCAUUAAUUAUCAUUUUAUCGUGAUACAUCUCUAAAGGUUAUGGCAUCUUUAAAUAGAGAAAGUCGUCUUACAUCUCGUGAGUCGAUUUCUCCUCUUCCCUUUAUUCCUCCGUCCCCUCUCUCUAUCUGUGUGAAAGAACUUUAAAAGAAACAGGGUAAGAAAGAAAUGGAGGAAGAUAUCAUUAGUGAUGCAGACAAGUGAUUCUGUUUCUAAGCUUCAGAUAGCAGUACUCCAUCACCUUUUACUAUUUCUCGUAUCAUUUCAGAUAUUUGAUCAUUUGCUUUUCUUACCCUUACUUGUGUAUUACAUUUGCUGUAUUGCUUGAUUAUAUUUUGUAAGUAAUUUGAUGUAAGCUAGGAGUUUUCCCCCAUAUUGCUGGUGAGAAUCGUGCAGAGUGCGUGCAAUACUUGGGUGUCUCUAGUGCAAUUUGUCCUUUGACGGUUAGGUUUCUAAGAAUAUUUACAACAGGUCUAUUUGGGAUUAUUUACUCGGUAGAAACAACAGUUUUCUAUUGAUGCUGAUGACAUGUUCCAGUAUCCAAGAAUUGUCGCUUGUACAUAGUGGUCAAAGUCUUCUACUCCCAGAGAUAAUCUUGCUGAUUUAUGUAAACUGAAAAGAGAAAGUAAUCGAAGUUAGCUUUUGAAAGAUAUACUUGAAGCAGAACAAUUUUUUGCGUUUCCUCUUUUUGGGAAAAAAUAACAACCUGCAAUAGUCUUUUCCAGGAUAGUAUCUAUGCUAUUGAUCUUCUCUUCAUAAAAUUCUCCAAGGUGUCCUGAAAUUCUUAUUACUAUUUGUUUCCUCUGCUAUCCUUGGGCACUAUGUUGUGGUUGUAAUUAAUUAUGGAAAAAAGAAGAGUUGGUUCCUCGUUACUGUAUGCUAUACAGAAUAAUUAAUUUGAAAUCUUGAAAUGGGUGCGUGUGAACAUAACUUUAACAAAGUAUGCUCUAGGAGAAAAAAAAAGCAAGGAGUUUUCCCCCAUGUUGCUGGUGAGAACCGUGCAGAGUGCGUGCAGUACUUGGGGUUGCUCUUGUGCAAUUUUUCCUUUAAAGGUGUUUUGGAUUGUUUUACUUGGUAUAAACAUAGUUAUCUUUCGAUGCUGACUACAUGCUCCAGUAUCCAAGAAUUGUUGCAUGUUAAACUUAGGAAAGAGUACAAAAGAGAAGAAGUUCACAAGUUCAGACACCGUGGGCAAACUCUGCUAAUCCUGGAGAUAAUUUUGCAUGUGCUGAUCUGGCCUCAUUAAUUUGUAAUCUGUACAACCGGUUAUAUGGAAAUGUUAAUAAAAUAUCAAUUGCUGAUUUAUGUAAGGGAAAGUUGUCGUGGUUACUUUUGAAAGAUGUUACUUGAAGCAGAAUAGUUUCUUUUUUUCCUUUUCCUCUUUUCUGUUUUAGGGUAUAACCCAUGGGCUCGUCAAUGAAUAUAUCCUCUAGUUGGCAAAAAUAGUUUGUCUUUCAAGGCAAGUUAGGGGUUCUCUAAAAUUAGAGAAUCAUACUUACCCCUACACAAACAUACAAGUCUCAACACAUAACUAAAAUACUCUUGAGGAACACCGAACUUUAUGUAAGCAUAACCACAACUUAGUCUUAAUCUCUACCCCUGCUAUCAGUUAUUGAACCUGUUAUGUUUUUUUUUUAAUCCAACUCCGGCAUCAUUUCAAGAAAUUGUAUGUCUACUGAUACAACUACAGUUAUGUGAUUUAGAUAAGUCCUCUUUUAUUAUUUUCAAUCAUCAUGGUGUUGCACCUGUAAAUCGGUGCAUAUGGAGGUCUACGUGUGAUAUAGUUAAACCAUCUUAGGCUUGUUCCUCAAUUGAUCAUCUUUGUGUUCUACUUGUUCUUAUCUAUUCUACAGCACAUCUUUUUCUGAAGUCAUACACUCCCCUAGCACGUGUUUGAUACCAAAGUUCUGUCUAAAUCACUUAACCUUCAUUUUGCUAAAUGUGUAAGGAAUGUUGGCCCUCUCAACAUAGAUGUGCUUUACAUAAUGCCGCCGUUGGUGUUUGCUAUAAUCUGUUGGGAUCAUAUGUUCGUAAAUAGAUGUGUAGAUUCUGAGUAUCUCAAUUCUGUUUCAUUGUGGUCAUCUUUUUAGAACAAUUUCAAAGUUUAUUCAGAAUAAACUGUUUGGUUUUAAUAAACUUCUUUGAUGCCAAAUCUUGGCAGGAAUGGGAACACAAGUGCACUACAAAGGAUUCCUACCAAGCUAUUACUCUAUGAAGGACCUUAAUGAGGAUUCUAACAGCAGCAGUUGGACCCCAUCUUAUGGAGAUAAGACAUUACCAAACGGGCAAUAUUGUAAUGGUUUCACCCCGAGGACUACAACUAAUGCAUAUCCAGGGUAUGAUAAGGACAUUCUAAAGCAGACAAUGCUUGAACACGAGGCCAUAUUCAGGAAUCAGGUAAUGCUUCCAUUUCUUUUCUUUUUUGAGAGGUUAGUUGGAAAUUUUGGUUUUCAGUAUGGUUCUACAUAUCCUAAUGCCGCGGUCUCUUAAACUCUCCUGCUUCAAAAUCUCUUCAUCUGUCAUGUAAUCCUUUUUUUUUUUUGCCUUGUGUCAAUGGCGUUCCAAAUAUACUUAUGCAAUGGUUUGCUUGUAGGUGGUGGAACUUCAUCGCCUUUACAGAAUUCAAAGGGACAUGAUGGACGAAUUUAAAAGGAAGGAAAUGCAUAAAUAUCGCUCAUCAAUGGAGCCAUCAUGUUCAUCCAGUCACCUAGGACCUCAAGUACCAUCUGAGGAUGUUCGGAAAUGGCACAUCGCAAACUUUCCGUUGGAAAAUUCUAGUUAUACUAGACCAUCUACAUCUGGUACUGAAAAUGUUAAUUCUCCCUUUAGUUCUUCAAAAGGAGAUGGUGUACAGCCUGGUCGAGUUCAAAUGCAAAAUGGUUAUUCUUCGAAAGCCUGUGAUAUUUUGGAGGCUAGGCCCUCAAAGGUCCGGAAAAUGUUGUUUGAUCUUCACCUUCCAGCCGAUGAUUACAUAGAUACAGAAGAUGGUGGGCAGUCGCGAGAUAAUGCAGGAUCUUUACAUCCUAGUUAUCCUGUUAAUGGAAAUUAUGUAGUUCCUCAAGAGAAUGGAAAAAAAUUGUUUCUUGGUGGCGAUGGUGCUGCAAAAGGUGAUAGCCGAAAAGAUGCUUCAACAUCCAAUUCAUGUUUGAGAAGCUCAAUUGGGUUGGCUGACCUAAAUGAACCAGCGCAGCUUGAUGAAGCAACUGAUCCUGUUGAUUUUCUUGGUUACGGUAAUAAUCCUAAAGAGACUAGAAGCAUAAAUGCUUCUGCAAAAUCAAAUCCGCCAUUUGUGGCUUUGCCUUGGAAUUCCAAUUGUGCCAGCCCAAAUGAGUCUGUAAGUAACCUAUACAAUCGCAGUAGAGGCAAAGAGAGGGAGUGGUUGGCUUCGGCAUAUGAAACCGGUAAUAGUUUCUUCUGAAACUUCUGUAUAUUUCUUGAGUUUUGCUGCUUCCGGAAUUCAUUUGUACCUAUCUUGAGUUGCUUCAAUUUGCAGGUAACAUCAAAGGCAGCUCAGUUUCAUUACCAAGAGGUCUCGAAGAAGAAAAGAUCCCUGCAGCUUCCCAUCAAGCACCAGCAAUGAUUAACAAAGCCUAUCAAACUCCGGGCGCUCAUCUAGUUCACCAUAUUAAGGAUGACAUUUGGAAAGAUAGAACAGGACAUAGUUUAGAUAUGUCUCACAGAAAUGGUGAGCAGUCUAAUUAUACUCAAGUGGGACCAUUUGUUACUUCCAAGAUGGCUAGUCCAUUUCCAUGUGCAAGUUCCUCUGAAUUUAGCAGUUCGUGGCCGCAUUCUGUCUCUUCUUGGGAGAAGCCAAACGGUAGCUUUACUCAGAGGUUAUCCUCAUUGCAUACAAAUUCAUUUUUCAACUCAUCUGCAGCAGUUGGUAAGGGUUCACAGUCAUCUCAGAGACAAAUUGGAGACUAUUGGCAAGCUAAUGGUGGCAGUUCUAGGGUGCGUCCAGGCUGUCCCAGUGGGAUACCCAACCGAAAUGUUUUCUACCAUGGGUCCUCAUCUGGGACGAAAGAAUCACCAAUUCACGUCCCUUCAGGUGCUUUUGACUCUUUGAGCUACAUUAAGGGGGACCGGUUUACAUCUGAACAUUCCUCUAAUAAUGCAUGCGAGAAUUUUCUCAUUAGUACGGAUGUGAAAUCUGCAAAAGGCUUCAACUUAAAUGUGCUAGCAACAAGUGCACUUAGUGAGGAACCUCCCAGGCAAGAUGUUGAGUUUAGUAAUGAAAAAAGAGAGCGUCAAGACCCUGUGACAGUUUUGCCGUGGCUUAAAGCUAAAGCAAAUUAUAAAAAUGAGGACGUCAAUACAAGGAUAGGUGGAACUUCAGCAGAUUCAGGAUUUGUCCAGGCUUACUCAAACUCUCCUUUCUGCCAGAGUGAUCCAUCAGCUUUGGAACAUCAUCAUAUGAAGACCGCAAAAGAAGUGUGCGAGAUGGGACAUGUAAGGAAAAUUCUUGGUGUUCCAAUCCUCGAUAUUCCCGUUGCUUCCAGAAAUGAGUCAUCAUCAUCACUUGUUUCUGCUUCUGCUAAUCUCCGUUCCUCUCCUGAGAGA